rnacentral:rRNA from 1 species
AUUGAACGCUGGCGGCAGGCCUAACACAUGCAAGUCGAGCGGAGCGGCGGACGGGUGAGUAAUGCCUGGGAAUCUGCCUGGUAGUGGGGGAUAACGUCCGGAAACGGGCGCUAAUACCGCAUACUAUCAGAUGAGCCUAGGUCGGAUUAGCUAGGUGGUGAGGUAAUUGCUCACCAAGGCUACGAGCCGUAACUGGUCUGAGAGGAUGAUCAGUCACACUGGAACUGAGACACGGUCCAGACUCCUACGGGGGGCAGCAGUGGGGAAUAUUGGACAAUGGGCGAAAGCCUGAUCCAGCCAUGCCGCGUGUGUGAAGAAGGUCUUCAGAUUGUAAAGCACUUUAAGUUGGGAGGCGUUACCGACAGAAUAAGCACCGGCUAACUCUGUGCCAGCAGCCGCGGUAAUUC